UGUAUCGCACACCAUUCUUCAUACACCUUUUCCUUUCACAAUAAUUCAAGGACCAUCCAUUACACAGGAUUAUAGAGAAGAACAAGCCUACUUUCUCCCAAUCCCAAUCAACCGUGAGUGAGAAAGAGAAUAAACCAAUCCUUGCUAAGCCAAUUCAUUCACUGUCUACAGGUGUUUCUUUGCAAGCAAGAAGUGAUAUCAAGGGAAAGAAAAUAAUUUCGGACUAAGCACUUGAGGUUGAGCAGCGACGAGCUUGGGUAGUGUUGAGUCGAACCUAAAUUUUUGUUGGAUUUAUUUUGAACUCCGAGGGGCGUCGUGUCUUCAUAC